GAGCCUGUAGCUCAGUCGGUAGAGCAACUGACUUUUAAUCAGUAGGUCAUGGGUUCGAAUCCCAUCGGGCUCA
rnacentral:tRNA from 1 species